CCUACGGGUGGCAGCAGUGAGGAAUAUUGGUCAAUGGCCGAGAGGCUGAACCAGCCAAGUCGCGUGAGGGAAGAAUGUCCUGUGGAUUGUAAACCUCUUUUGUCAGGGAGCAAAGUCACCCACGUGUGGGUGUUGGAGAGUACCUGAAGAAAAAGCAUCGGCUAACUCCGUGCCAGCAGCCGCGGUAAUACGGAGGAUGCGAGCGUUAUCCGGAUUUAUUGGGUUUAAAGGGUGCGUAGGCGGGUUAUCAAGUCAGCGGUAAAAUCGUGGAGCUCAACUCCAUCCAGCCGUUGAAACUGAUGAUCUGGAGUGGGCGAGAAGCAUGCGGAAUGCGUGGUGUAGCGGUGAAAUGCAUAGAUAUCACGCAGAACUCCGAUUGCGAAGGCAGCAUACUGGCGCCUGACUGACGCUGAAGCACGAAAGCGUGGGUAGCGAACAGGAUUAGAUACCCGUGUAGUC
rnacentral:rRNA from 1 species